UACGUAGGGGGCGAGCGUUGUCCGGAUUUAUUGGGCGUAAAGAGCGUGUAGGCGGUUAGGUAGGUCCGUUGUGAAAACUCGAGGCUCAACCUCGAGACGCCGAUGGAAACCAUCUGACUAGAGUCCGGAAGAGGAGAGUGGAAUUCCUGGUGUAGCGGUGAAAUGCGCAGAUAUCAGGAAGAACACCCGUGGCUAAGGCGGCUCUCUAGUACGUGACUGACGCUGAGACGCGAAAGCGUGGGGAGCGAACCGG
rnacentral:rRNA from 1 species